GAUGAACGCUAGCUACAGGCUUAACACAUGCAAGUCGAGGGGAAACGACAUCGAAAGCUUGCUUUUGAUGGGCGUCGACCGGCGCACGGGUGAGUAACGCGUAUCCAACCUGCCCAUCACUUGGGAAUAACCUUGCGAAAGUAAGACUAAUACCCAAUGACAUCCCACGAAGACAUCUGAAUGGGAUUAAAGAUUUAUCGGUGAUGGAUGGGGAUGCGUCUGAUUAGCUUGUUGGCGGGGUAACGGCCCACCAAGGCAACGAUCAGUAGGGGUUCUGAGAGGAAGGUCCCCCACAUUGGAACUGAGACACGGUCCAAACUCCUACGGGAGGCAGCAGUGAGGAAUAUUGGGCAAUGGGCGAGAGCCUGAACCAGCCAAGUAGCGUGCAGGAUGACGGCCCUAUGGGUUGUAAACUGCUUUUAUAAGGGAAUAAAGUGGGUCUCGGGAGACUUUUUGCAUGUACCUUAUGAAUAAGGACCGGCUAAUUCCGUG
rnacentral:rRNA from 1 species